rnacentral:rRNA from 1 species
CGUACACUCCUACGGGAGGCAGCAGUGGGGAAUAUUGCACAAUGGGCGCAAGCCUGAUGCAGCCAUGCCGCGUGUAUGAAGAAGGCCUUCGGGUUGUAAAGUACUUUCAGCGGGGAGGAAGGCGAUAAGGUUAAUAACCUUGUUGAUUGACGUUACCCGCAGAAGAAGCACCGGCUAACUCCGUGCCAGCAGCCGCGGUAAUACGGAGGGUGCAAGCGUUAAUCGGAAUUACUGGGCGUAAAGCGCACGCAGGCGGUCUGUCAAGUCGGAUGUGAAAUCCCCGGGCUCAACCUGGGAACUGCAUUCGAAACUGGCAGGCUAGAGUCUUGUAGAGGGGGGUAGAAUUCCAGGUGUAGCGGUGAAAUGCGUAGAGAUCUGGAGGAAUACCGGUGGCGAAGGCGGCCCCCUGGACAAAGACUGACGCUCAGGUGCGAAAGCGUGGGGAGCAAACAGGAUUAGAAACCCUGGUAGUCCCA